UGCUGGGCCUGCCCCACAGUGUUCGCUAAGAUAUCUGGGUCCAUGCCCAAGAAUUCACGUUUCUAACAAGUUCCCAGGAGUUUCUGAUUGUUCUGUGGACCACACUUUGAGAGCUACUGAUAAAUAUGCCAGAUAGCUCAUUAGGAUUUAAGAAACUAUGUUUGGGCAUAUUUUAACUUUGAUAAACACUUAUAGAUUGAGCAAGAGAGGAUAGACAAGAUUUGGCCAAAGCUUCGAGUACUUGCAAGAUCAUCUCCUACUGAUAAGCAUACACUGGUUAAAGGUAUAAUUGACAGCACUGUCUCAGACCAACGCCAGGUUGUAGCUGUGACUGGUGAUGGUACAAAUGAUGGCCCAGCACUAAAGAAAGCAGAUGUUGGAUUUGCAAUGGGUAUUGCUGGAACUGAUGUAGCUAAAGAAGCAUCCGAUAUUAUUCUCACAGAUGACAACUUUACAAGCAUUGUUAAAGCAGUUAUGUGGGGACGAAAUGUCUAUGACAGCAUCUCAAAAUUCCUUCAGUUCCAACUUACUGUUAAUGUAGUGGCAGUGAUUGUUGCUUUUACGGGCGCCUGCAUUACUCAAGUAGGUGAUGACUUGUCUAUCAAAACUUGUUUACUUUAAAUUUAAAAAGUAUAUUAAAUGCCUUUUAAAAAAUACUUAAUAUUUAAGCUGAAGCUUAAUAUUUUAGGUUAGUUAAUAUAAAAAUAUAAUCCUGUUCUGUUUCUCAAGUUUUUAAACCCUAAAGGCUUCCUGAGAAUUGCUGAGCCCCUGAGUAGUUGUGAAUGUCUAUUAGGAAACAUAUCUUUUCUAGGACUCACCGCUUAAGGCUGUGCAGAUGCUGUGGGUAAACCUCAUAAUGGAUACACUCGCUUCCCUGGCUCUGGCAACGGAACCACCCACUGAGUCUCUCUUGCUUCGGAAACCUUAUGGUAGAAAUAAGC
rnacentral:sRNA from 1 species